GCUUUGCAUAUGACGUCACGGGUAACGUGACAUCAGCCCAACGGCCAUACUGGAGUACCAAAACAGACACCGUAAUACGUCAGCGCUGUUUUUUUACCGGACAUAUAAUGGUUAACUUCUGUGCCAUUGUUGGCUGCGGCAACAGAGGUGAUCGAAACAGGGGGCCGAAGUCAUUUUACAGGCUGCCGGCGGUUAUAACACACCAGGGUGAAGCAACACAUGAACUUUCAAAGCGUCGCCGGGAAAAAUGGCUCAAUAGGAUCGGACGGGAGGAUCUCAAACCAUCCAACCACAACUAUACUCGCGUUUGUGGGGAUCAUUUCACGUCAGGUAAACCAGUGGCACUUUUUGACAAAAAUCAUCCUGACUGGGCACCGUCUGUCAAAUUGGGCCACGA